UGAAAAUAAGACUCAAACAAGCAAAAGAUGAGCUGCCACAGAGGCAGGAGGAGCCAGGCUUUCCAUGCCAGUCAGGAAUUCUCUGUCAGUGAGGAGUUUGCUGAGGUAACCUCGGUGCUGCACAAGUUCCAGGCUGGCAUUAGAAACAAAGGCAGGACUCCAGGCAGCAGCAGCCACGCACCCUGAGCAGAGGGGCACUAGGAAUGGAGCACACCGCGUUUGUCCCCUGGCUGUGCCACAAACCCGGCACCUCUAACUGCUGCAAACCUCUGGUUCUUCACUCAACAAACACCUGCCCUCCUUCUGGUGUCAGCAAACCCUCCACCUCUAACUGUGUACACACCCUUGCACCUCUUUAAUUGUGUUAACAAACCUUCACACCUCUUUAACUGUGCUAACAAACCCUUGUCCUUCUUAAUUGUGUUAAUAAAGCCUUGAGCCUCU